rnacentral:misc_RNA from 1 species
GCAAACUUGGUCAUUUAGAGGAAGUACAAGUCGUAACAAGGUUUCCGUAGGUGAACCUGCGGAAGGAUCAUUAACAAAUCAUAUGUGUGCGUGCAUUUUAUGUGCGCAAACAAUAUAUGUGCGCCAGCAUACGUGCUGGAAUGCAAUAUUCAUGUAUAAAUUUAUGUGUGUGUAAUGUCAUUUAUAAUCCAAAACAUACUUUUAACAAUGGAUCUCUUGGCUCUUGCAUCGAUGAAGAACGCAGC